rnacentral:rRNA from 1 species
CCUACGGGAGGCAGCAGUGGGGAAUAUUGGACAAUGGGCGAAAGCCUGAUCCAGCGACGCCGCGUGGGUGAAGAAGGCCUUCGGGUUGUAAAGCCCUUUAAGCCGGGACGAAAAAGCUGCACCUAACACGUGCGGCCUUGGCGGUACCGGAAGAAUAAGCACCGGCUAACUCUGUGCCAGCAGCCGCGGUAAU